UACGGAGGGUGCGAGCGUUGUCCGGAAUCACUGGGCGUAAAGGGCGCGUAGGCGGCGCGGGUAGUCGUCGGUGAAAGCUCAGGGCUCAACCCUGAGUCGGCCGGUGAUACUCCCGUGCUCGAGCACUGUAGAGGCAGGUGGAAUUCCGGGUGUAGCGGUGAAAUGCGUAGAUAUUGGGAGGAACACCAGUGGCGAAGGCGACUUUCUGGACGAUAACUGACGCUGAGGCGCGAAAGCGUGGGGAGCAAACAGG
rnacentral:rRNA from 1 species